rnacentral:rRNA from 1 species
GACGUGAGGGCGCGAGCGUUGUCCGGAUUUAUUGGGCGUAAAGAGCUCGUAGGCGGUUUGUUGCGUCGGCUGUGAAAUCCCGAGGCUCAACCUCGGGUCUGCAGUCGAUGACGAGCAAACUAGAGUGUUGCAGGGGAGACUGGAAUUCCUGGUGGAGCGGUGAAAUGCGCAGAUAUCAGGAGGAACACCCGUAGCGAAGGCGGCACUCGUGGGCCGAAUACUGACACUGAGGAGCGAGAGCGUGGGGAGCGAACCGG